CUCCAAAGUCAUAAAAGCCAGUGGGA
rnacentral:piRNA from 1 species